UGCGGCAGGACAUUAAUGAG
rnacentral:rRNA from 1 species